GAUGAACGCUGGCGGCGUGCCUAAUACAUGCAAGUCGAGCGAACGGACGAGAAGCUUGCUUCUCUGAUGUUAGCGGCGGACGGGUGAGUAACACGUGGAUAACCUACCUAUAAGACUGGGAUAACUUCGGGAAACCGGAGCUAAUACCGGAUAGUAUUUUGAACCGCAUGGUUCAAAAGUGAAAGACGGUCUUGCUGUCACUUAUAGAUGGAUCCGCGCUGCAUUAGCUAGUUGGUAAGGUAACGGCCUACCAAGGCAACGAUACAUAGCCGACCUGAGAGGGUGAUCGGCCACACUGGAACUGAGACACGGUCCAGACUCCUACGGGAGGCAGCAGUAGGGAAUCUUCCGCAAUGGGCGAAAGCCUGACGGAGCAACGCCGCGUGAGUGAUGAAGGUCUUCGGAUCGUAAAACUCUGUUAUUAGGGAAGAACAUAUGUGUAAGUAACUGUGCACAUCUUGACGGUACCUAAUCAGAAAGCCACGGCUAACUACGUGCCAGCAGCCGCGGUAAUACGUAGGUGGCAAGCGUUAUCCGGAAUUAUUGGGCGUAAAGCGCGCGUAGGCGGUUUUUUAAGUCUGAUGUGAAAGCCCACGGCUCAACCGUGGAGGGUCAUUGGAAACUGGAAAACUUGAGUGCAGAAGAGGAAAGUGGAAUUCCAUGUGUAGCGGUGAAAUGCGCAGAGAUAUGGAGGAACACCAGUGGCGAAGGCGACUUUCUGGUCUGUAACUGACGCUGAUGUGCGAAAGCGUGGGGAUCAAACAGGAUUAGAUACCCUGGUAGUCCACGCCGUAAACGAUGAGUGCUAAGUGUUAGGGGGUUUCCGCCCCUUAGUGCUGCAGCUAACGCAUUAAGCACUCCGCCUGGGGAGUACGACCGCAAGGUUGAAACUCAAAGGAAUUGACGGGGACCCGCACAAGCGGUGGAGCAUGUGGUUUAAUUCGAAGCAACGCGAAGAACCUUACCAAAUCUUGACAUCCUUUGACAACUCUAGAGAUAGAGCCUUCCCCUUCGGGGGACAAAGUGACAGGUGGUGCAUGGUUGUCGUCAGCUCGUGUCGUGAGAUGUUGGGUUAAGUCCCGCAACGAGCGCAACCCUUAAGCUUAGUUGCCAUCAUUAAGUUGGGCACUCUAAGUUGACUGCCGGUGACAAACCGGAGGAAGGUGGGGAUGACGUCAAAUCAUCAUGCCCCUUAUGAUUUGGGCUACACACGUGCUACAAUGGACAAUACAAAGGGCAGCGAAACCGCGAGGUCAAGCAAAUCCCAUAAAGUUGUUCUCAGUUCGGAUUGUAGUCUGCAACUCGACUACAUGAAGCUGGAAUCGCUAGUAAUCGUAGAUCAGCAUGCUACGGUGAAUACGUUCCCGGGUCU
rnacentral:rRNA from 1 species